AAACUGAAGAGUUUGAUCAUGGCUCAGAUUGAACGCUGGCGGUAUGCUUAACACAUGCAAGUCGAACGGUAGCAGGUCUUCGGAUGCUGACGAGUGGCGGACGGGUGAGUAACGCGUAGGAAUCUGCCUAUUAGUGGGGGACAACGUGUGGAAACGCACGCUAAUACCGCAUACGCCCUACGGGGGAAAGGAGGGGAUCUUCGGACCUUUCGCUAAUAGAUGAGCCUGCGUAGGAUUAGCUAGUUGGUAGGGUAAAGGCCUACCAAGGCGACGAUCCUUAGCUGUUCUGAGAGGAAGAUCAGCCACACUGGGACUGAGACACGGCCCAGACUCCUACGGGAGGCAGCAGUGGGGAAUAUUGGACAAUGGGCGAAAGCCUGAUCCAGCAAUACCGCGUGUGUGAAGAAGGCCUUAGGGUUGUAAAGCACUUUCAAUUGGGAGGAAAAAACAAGGGUCAAUACCCCUUGUCUUGACAUUACCUUUAGAAGAAGCACCGGCUAACUCCGUGCCAGCAGCCGCGGUAAUACGGAGGGUGCGAGCGUUAAUCGGAAUUACUGGGCGUAAAGAGUGCGUAGGCGGCUCGUUAAGUCAGAUGUGAAAGCCCUGGGCUCAACCUGGGAACUGCAUUUGAAACUGGCGAGCUAGAGUUGAGUAGAGGUAAGUGGAAUUUCAGGUGUAGCGGUGAAAUGCGUAGAUAUCUGAAGGAACACCAGUGGCGAAGGCGACUUACUGGACUCAAACUGACGCUGAGGUACGAAAGCGUGGGUAGCAAACAGGAUUAGAUACCCUGGUAGUCCACGCCGUAAACGAUGUCAACUAGCCGUUGGUCCUAUAUACAGGAUUAGUGGCGCAGCUAACGCAUUAAGUUGACCGCCUGGGGAGUACGGCCGCAAGGUUAAAACUCAAACGAAUUGAC
rnacentral:ncRNA from 1 species